GCGGCCGGUGCUCUACCGCGCGCCCUGGUGUUCUCGGCUCUGAAGUCGGAGGGGUUUCGGCUAGGCCAUCAAGCUAGAUGUGAAACGUCUGUGUCCGGAAGGGGUUUUCCCCUUGUAACUUUAGCCCAGGCAGUGUAGAUAAGGCUUAUGAGGAGAGCUAUGGAAGGUGAGGAACCAGGAAUUUAACUGGAAGCACGUGAGAAACAGGACUGCACCAUUUUGUACUCUUUCUACAGACUUCGUGUGCGCUGCGUCUUGAGAUCACAACAUGAGUAAGAUCUAGCCCUUCAAAUGACUCUGCAGUGAGGGGGAAACUGAGCUGUGAGGAGUGGUAAAGGGGACACAAGGAGGUACCCAUUCGGGAAACUUCCCCGGCUCUAUUCCCGCUGUUCUUGAAGGACAGGAACUCUGGAGACUCUGGAACUCUGGAGAUUCUGGAAAACCUGACAGGCUGGAGAAGUAUAAGGAAACGGAAAUCUGAGCUGUGUCACAGAAAAGUGACUUCACUGGUGGAGUACACAUCCAGCAAGUGGCAGAGCUAGGACUGCAUCGGCCAGACUCAU